rnacentral:rRNA from 1 species
AGCGGAAGAGCUCAAGCUUGAAAUCUCCGCACAAGUUUUGUGUGGCGAAUUGUAGUCUAUAGAAGCGAUGUCAGCAUAGCUGCUCUAGUCAAGUUCCUUGGAAAAGGACAGCAUGGAGGGUUAUACUCCCGUCAUUGCUGGAGCAUGCUGUGUGUACGACACGUUUUCUUUGAGUCGCGUUGUUUGGGAAUGCAGCGCAAAGUAGGUGGUAAAUUCCAUCUAAAGCUAAAUAUAAGUGCGAGACCGAUAGCGAACAAGUACCGUGAGGGAAAGAUGAAAAGAACUUUGAAAAGAGAGUUAAAGAGUACCUGAAACUGCUGAAAGGGAAGCGAAUCGGAUCCAGUGUCUAUAAUCCGCAACAUAUUACAAUGAUGUGUCUUUGCUUUCCGCGUGUAGGUAGUAGCCUUGGUUGCACCUUGCGUGGAUUGGUUGAGCCAUAUCGUUGCCCUGUGUUGUGGUGGGACGUCAAAGUCAGUUUGUACGUCGCAGGAAAUGAUUGACGAGGAAGAUAGGUUUGCUGCUUGCAGCGUUCCAUUAUAUCCUUAUCGAUGUCUGCUGUGACGGAGACUGAGGUGUCUUUAACAUGCUCUCGAGUCUAUUAGACAUUCACUUGGUUGAGUGCGUAGAUAGCUUGCUAUGUACGUGUUUAUACAGGGUGAUUGUGUUUGGU